rnacentral:rRNA from 1 species
GACGAACGCUGGCGGCGUGCUUAACACAUGCAAGUCGAACGGAAAGGCGAUGAUCUUGUGGGGUGGUCGAGUGGCGAACGGGUGAGUAAAACGUGAGUAAAAUGUCCCUGAAUUUGGGAUAACUUCACGAAAAUGGGGCUAAUACCGGAUAGGAGAUUCUGCUGCACGGUGGGGGUUGGAAAGAUUCGGCGGUUGGGGAUGGACUCGCGGGUUAUCAGCUUGUUAGUGGGGUAGUGGCUUACCAAGGCUUUGACGGAUAGCCGGCCUGGGAGGGUGAACGGCCACAUGAGUACUGAGAUACGGACCAGACUGCUACGGGAGGCAGCAGUGGGGAACAUUACACAAUAGGCGGGAGCCUGAUGCAACGACGCCGCGUGCGGGAUGACGGCCUUCUAGUUAUGAACCUCUUUCGCCGGUGACGAAGCGUGAGUGACGGUAAUGAAUAAGAAAGCACCGGCUAACUACGUG